rnacentral:rRNA from 1 species
AUUGAACGCUGGCGGCGUGCCUAACACAUGCAAGUCGAGCGGUAACAGGUGUAGCAAUACAUGCUGACGAGCGGCGAACGGGUGAGUAAUGCUUCGGAAUCUACCCAAUGGUGGGGAAUAACCAGCCGAAAGGUUGGCUAAUACCGCAUACGUCCCACGGGAGAGAGCAGGGGAUCGCAAGACCUUGCGCCAAUGGAUGAGCCGAAGUCGGAUUAGCUAGUGGUAGGGUAACGGCCUACCAAGGCGACGAUCCGUAGCUGGUCUGAGAGGACGACCAGCCACACUGGGACUGAGACACGGCCCAGACUCCUACGGGAGGCAGCAGUGGGGAAUAUUGGACAAUGGGGGAAACCCUGAUCCAGCGACGCCGCGUGUGUGAAGAAGGCCUGCGGGUUGUAAAGCAC